rnacentral:rRNA from 1 species
ACGGGAGGCAGCAGUGGGGAAUAUUGGACAAUGGGGGAAACCCCGAUCCAGCGACGCCGCGUGAGUGAAGAAGUAUUUCGGUAUGUAAAGCUCUAUCAGCAUGGAAGAUAAUGACGGUACCUGACUAAGAAGCCCCGGCUAACUACGUGCCAGCAGCCGCGGUAAUACGUAGGGGGCAAGCGUUAUCCGGAUUUACUGGGUGUAAAGGGAGCGUAGACGGAAGGCCAAGUCUGAUGUGAAAACCCAGGGCUCAACCCUGGGACUGCAUUGGAAACUGGUCAUCUAGAGUGCAGGAGGGGUAAGCGGAAUUCCUAGUGUAGCGGUGAAAUGCGUAGAUAUUAGGAGGAACACCGGUGGCGAAGGCGGCUUACUGGACUGUAACUGACGUUGAGGCUCGAAAGCGUGGGGAGCAAACAGGAUUAGAUACCCUGGUA